CCUACGGGUGGCAGCAGUGGGGAAUAUUGCACAAUGGGCGCAAGCCUGAUGCAGCCAUGCCGCGUGUGUGAAGAAGGCCUUCGGGCUGUAAAGCACUUUCAGCGGGGAGGAAGGCGUUAAGGUUAAUAACCUUGGCGAUUGACGUUACCCGCAGAAGAAGCACCGGCUAACUCCGUGCCAGCAGCCGCGGUAAUACGGAGGGUGCAAGCGUUAAUCGGAAUUACUGGGCGUAAAGCGCACGCAGGCGGUCUGUCAAGUCGGAUGUGAAAUCCCCGGGCUCAACCUGGGAACUGCAUUCGAAACUGGCAGGCUAGAGUCUUGUAGAGGGGGGUAGAAUUCCAGGUGUAGCGGUGAAAUGCGUAGAGAUCUGGAGGAAUACCGGUGGCGAAGGCGGCCCCCUGGACAAAGACUGACGCUCAGGUGCGAAAGCGUGGGGAGCAAACAGGAUUAGAUACCCUAGUAGUC
rnacentral:rRNA from 1 species